CCAGACUCCUACGGGAGGCAGCAGUAGGGAAUCUUUCACAAUGGGCGAAAGCCUGAUGGAGCAACGCCGCGUGCAGGAUGAAGGCCUUCGGGUUGUAAACUGCUUUUAUAAGCGAGAAAUAUGAUGGUAACUUAUGAAUAAGGAUCGGCUAACUCCGUGCCAGCAGCCGCGGUAAUACGGAGGAUGCGAGCGUUAUCCGGAUUUAUUGGGUUUAAAGGGUGCGUAGGCGGAAUGCCAAGUCAGCGGUAAAAUCGCGGGGCUCAACCUCGCUCCGCCGUUGAAACUGGCGUUCUUGAGUGGGCGAGAAGUAUGCGGAAUGCGUGGUGUAGCGGUGAAAUGCAUAGAUAUCACGCAGAACUCCGAUUGCGAAGGCAGCAUACCGGCGCCCAACUGACGCUGAAGCACGAAAGCGUGGGUAUCGAACAGGAUUAGAUACCCGUGUAUC
rnacentral:rRNA from 1 species